rnacentral:rRNA from 1 species
UACGUAGGGGGCAAGCGUUGUCCGGAAUUAUUGGGCGUAAAGAGCUCGUAGGCGGUCUUUUAAGUCGGGUGUGAAAUCUCAGGGCUCAACUCUGAAACUGCACCCGAUACUGGAUGACUUGAGGCAGGUAGGGGAGAUCGGAAUUCCUGGUGUAGCGGUGAAAUGCGCAGAUAUCAGGAGGAACACCGGUGGCGAAGGCGGAUCUCUGGGCCUGUUCUGACGCUGAGGAGCGAAAGCGUGGGGGGCAAACAGG